rnacentral:rRNA from 1 species
AAUCAACGCUGGCGGCGUGCCUCAGACAUGCAAGUCGAACGAUUAAAGCUCUCUUCGGAGAGUGCAUAGAGUGGCGCACGGGUGAGUAACACGUAAGUAAUCUACCUUCGAGUGGGGAAUAACAGUCGGAAACGACUGCUAAUACCGCAUAAUGCAGCGGCAUCGCAAGAUGACAGUUGUUAAAGGAGCAAUUCGCUUGAAGAGGAGCUUGCGGCAGAUUAGCUUGUUGGUAAGGUAACGGCUUACCAAGGCUACGAUCUGUAACCGGUCUAAGAGGACGGUCGGUCACACUGACACUGAAUAACGGGUCAGACUCCUACGGGAGGCAGCAGUCGGGAAGUUUUGGGUCAAUGGACGAAAGACCUGACCCAGCAACGCCGCGUGAAGGAUGAAGUAUUUCGGUAUG